GGAAGAGGUUCACCCAUCUUGGCAGGAAAGCGAGGGAGCAGUGAAUGAGGACGAAGCCCCACCUCCGCCCCCGCCGCCUGCCAGCCUCAGUGUCCACUGCUGGGAAAUGGGAACGAGGGAUGGGCCCCAUUCACGUCAGCGAGUGCGCGGGUCUUGGGCCUCGUGGCACUCCCAGGGUGACCCUUGGGAGGACGCUGUGGUCCCGAGACAAAGGGCCCCGGGAGGAGGGCCCGCAGCUGCCCAUGCGGCUCUCCCAGGACCGGCCCCGCUGCCUGUCCAUCUGGCGUCUGCCAGGCUUCAGGCGCCGGUGUCACACUCUCCGCCGUCCGGGGGCAGCAUCACACUCUCCGCCGUCGGGGGCAGCAGAGCAACAGAGCCGGCUGCCCGAUGCCCCUGUUUGCAGCAGACGCUGUCGUUCCCCGGGUGUUGUUCCCUCGUGGAUCAGGCAACACAAAUGUGCUGGUCUUCCCUUUGCUUUCUUUAUUUCUUUAUUUUGUUACGGUUUAAGUUAAUGCUAUUAAGCAGUCAGACGCUGGCCCAUCCUGGGGCUCCGGAGGGCAGGGCCCUCCCGGCUGCAGGAGAAGGGCGGAACCGCACUCCGGCUUGUGCCCACCCAGGGUUCUGGCGCACAGGAGCCCGCCGUGACGGGCCCCACUGGCAAGGCCCGAGCCACCACCUCCCGGUUCACAGCUGCAGGAGCCCGAGGAGCGCCUUCAGACACUGUGACCUUCACACGUGUGAGGACGUGGCUGCUGCAAGUCACAGGCUAGGUCCUAGGCAGGGGUCCCCUGGCACAGGCAGAAGUGAGAGCCUGGGAGCCCCAGGCAGAGACCAGGGUUGGGGUGAGGGGCCAGGGUGCGGAGGGAGCCGGAGAAGCGCAGGCUGUGGCCAGCGAGGCAGAUCCUAUAGCCUCUCUCAGAUGCUGAGACCCCGAGGGCGGGGGCUGAGCCUUGUCCACUUCUCUGCCCAGCGCCCAGCCAGCAAUAAGAAAGCUAUUGAGAGGGUGAGCCACAGGCUCAAGGUCGCCCAGCCCCACAAGGUCACCUCCUCCCAGAAGCUCCACCGUGGGCUCCUUCUGCUUCUCGAGGUUGGUACAUCAAGGGGGCCCCCUGGAUUCCUGCCUCCCCCAGAGGAGCAGCGGGUACUGAUGUGGGAGCCACACCCCUGCCCCGGCCUCCUGUCUCCACGCGGUCCGCUCAGGGAGGCGACAGAGGCUCAGAGGCAAAGGGCCUGGUGGAGGCACUCAGACUCUGACAGCACGCGCUCCCGAGGGUGCGGCCAGCAGACCUCUGCACCCCCACCCUACUCAGCCUGGGACCCACCACACACGACCCUCAGCCCAGGACUGCAUCCUCCCAGGGCUCUCCCUGCCCCCGCCCAGCUGUGCUGCCCCUGCCUGGACACACCAGGCAUAUCUCGUCCUCUUUCAUCUUCCAGGUUAUGGGCAGGAAAAAACAGAUCAUCAAACAUCUAAUGAUUUAAGAAAUUAUGGACAAGUGAACGAAUAACAUGCUUUCUUAUCUCGAGCAUUUUCCCAUGUACUUAUUCACAACAACAAAAGUCAAACACCAGAGGCAGAGUGGAUAACUGUGUGAGCAGUUUCGGGCUUUUUUCC
rnacentral:lncRNA from 1 species